GGGCCCUUUAUAACUUGUUGUUCGGUGUGAGCCAAGGCUCUGUGUUGAAGGCCGUACAUUGACCUAUAAUGGUUUACUUUUUUUAAAUUGUUGUUUGGAUGGAGAGUUGUCUCAUUGGCACUCACACCACAUCUUCCUAUAUCUAUUGAAGGUGUCACUGUAUCGGUUAUGAUAAAGUUCAAGGUUGAAAUGGUGCACCAUUGCUUAAAAUCAAUACAUUGCAGGGUUAUUCUUGACAACUCAUAAUAAUCCGGCAACCUACAAAGAUUUAGC
rnacentral:lncRNA from 1 species